rnacentral:rRNA from 2 species
AGAUUAAGUUAUUAAGGGCGCACGGUGGAUGCCUUGGCACUAGAAGCCGAUGAAGGACGUUACUAACGACGAUAUGCUUUGGGGAGCUGUAAGUAAGCUUUGAUCCAGAGAUUUCCGAAUGGGGAAACCCAGCAUGAGUUAUGUCAUGUUAUCGAUAUGUGAAUACAUAGCAUAUCAGAAGGCACACCCGGAGAACUGAAACAUCUUAGUACCCGGAGGAAGAAAAAGAAAAUUCGAUUCCCUUAGUAGCGGCGAGCGAAACGGGAAGAGCCCAAACCAACAAGCUUGCUUGUUGGGGUUGUAGGACACUCUAUACGGAGUUACAAAGGACGACAUUAGACGAAUCAUCUGGAAAGAUGAAUCAAAGAAGGUAAUAAUCCUGUAGUCGAAAAUGUUGUCUCUCUUGAGUGGAUCCUGAGUACGACGGAACACGUGAAAUUCCGUCGGAAUCUGGGAGGACCAUCUCCUAAGGCUAAAUACUCUCUAGUGACCGAUAGUGAACCAGUACCGUGAGGGAAAGGU